GCUCAGUAACACGUGGACAAUCUGCCCUUGGGUUUGGCAUAACCCCGGGAAACUGGGGAUAAUACCGAAUAAACCAUAGAAGCUGGAAUGCUCUUUGGUUAAAAGCUCCGGCGCCCAAGGAUGAGUCUGCGGCCUAUCAGGUUGUAGUGGGUGUAACGUACCUACUAGCCGACGACGGGUACGGGUUGUGAGAGCAAGAGCCCGGAGAUGGAUUCUGAGACAUGAAUCCAGGCCCUACGGGGCGCAGCAGGCGCGAAAACUUUACAAUGCGGGAAACCGCGAUAAGGGGACACCGAGUGCCAGCAUACUAUGUUGGCUGUCCACAUGUGUAAACAGCAUGUGUUAGCAAGGGCCGGGCAAGACCGGUGCCAGCCGCCGCGGUAACACCGGCGGCCCGAGUGGUAAUCACUAUUAUUGGGUCUAAAGGGUCCGUAGCCGGUUUGAUCAGUCAUCCGGGAAAUCUGAUAGCUCAACUAUUAGGCUUCCGGGUGAUACUGUCAGGCUUGGGACCGGGAGAGGUAAGAGGUACUACAGGGGUAGGAGUGAAAUCUUGUAAUCCCUGUGGGACCACCAGUGGCGAAGGCGUCUUACCAGAACGGGUCCGACGGUGAGGGACGAAAGCUGGGGGCACGAACCGGAUUAGAUACCCGGGUAGUCCCAGCCGUAAACGAUGCUCGCUAGGUGUCUGGGAUGGUGCGACCGUUUCAGGUGCCGCAGGGAAGCCGUGAAGCGAGCCACCUGGGAAGUACGGCCGCAAGGCUGAAACUUAAAGGAAUUGGCGGGGGAGCAC
rnacentral:rRNA from 1 species